CCUACGGGAGGCAGCAGUGGGGAAUAGUGCGCAAUGGGCGAAAGCCUGACGCAGCGACGCCGCGUGAGGGAUGAAGGUCUUCGGAUCGUAAACCUCUGUCAGCAGGGAAGAACGGUCACGGGGCUAAGCAGCAGUGAAUGGACGGUACCUGCAAAGGAAGCACCGGCUAACUCCGUGCCAGCAGCCGCGGUAAUACGGAGGGGGCGAGCGUUCAUCGGAAUUACUGGGCGUAAAGCGCUCGUAGGCGGUAUGUCCAGUCAAGGGUGAAAUCCCCGCGCUCCACGUGGGAACUGCCUUUGAAACUGGCAACCUGGCGUGUGUGAGAGGCUAGUGUACUUCCAGGUGUAGGCG
rnacentral:rRNA from 1 species